rnacentral:rRNA from 1 species
AUGGGUUCUCAGGCUGAAACAGGAGGCUCGAAACAACGAGCUGAGCCGAUCGAAGACCUGCUGGAGCGUCUGGAACUACAAGAGGAUGAAGAGGACCAGUUCGUAUGGGAAGAAGAGUUCAACGAAGAGCAGGUCGCGGUGAAGUGGUUGGCGAUCGCGAAGGUGCAUACAGAGAAGGGAUUCAGCCCAUCUGCCUUGUUUGCUGACAUGAGAUCGGCAUGGAACCCGGCGAAAGAACCGCGGUGGCGUAAGAUCGAGGACAAUCUGUUCAUGGUCCAAUUCGGUUGCUUAGGAGAUUGGAACACUGCCGUGAAUAUGGGUCCCUGGCUAUUCCGAGAUCAAGGGCUUCUUAUUGAAGAAUAUGAUGGAUUUAAGAACCCACGAUCUGUUGUUCUGAACAAGAUAACGGUGUGGGCUAGAAUUCUGAAACUACCAGACAACUAUCUGAUUCCAGCGGCCAUCAAAGGGAUGUGUAGGAAGAUGGGCAAGGUUACUGAGGUACAAACGACUCUGCCGGCUGGUUUCACGGGGGAAUUUGUUUGA